rnacentral:lncRNA from 1 species
UGAUGACGUAUCAGCUAAGCGCGCAAUUUGGAAUGUACCAGCUAAGCGAAUUUUUGUUAAUUUUGUCAAUUAAUUAAUUUAACUUGCUUGUAAAUUUCUCGUAUUUGUAUUGUUAUAAAACUGGUUGUUUAGUACACCAUGGAUGUUGGUUCACAUUUACAGUUUAUAAAAUAUCUAGAGAAGAGAUUACCUGCUGAAGACUCCAAAGCGAUGUCUCUUGUGCUAGAUCGUCUAGUACAAAGAUUUCUCCAAGAAGAGCGUUAUACCAAUGACAUCUGAUACGUAAACUACUACAUUAAAUGUGCAAGUUAUUACAAUGAGCCCAUCAAACUAUACAGCCACAUAUACAGUAAGGGCAUUGGCACCAGAGAUGCAGUCCUCUAUGUGGCGUGGGCUCAUCUAUGUGGCGUGGGCUCAACAGUUUGAGCAGCAGGGCCUGCUUCAACAGGCUGACACCGUGUACCAGAGAGCCAUGGAAAACCAAGCUAAGCCAACUGACACUGUCCUUCAGCAAUACAGAAUGUUCCAAACCAGGACUUCUGGAAGUGGGGCAGGGGCUUCAGAAGCUGUACGGAAUCCUCUUCAGAAGUCCAACUUGGUAAAUCAGCUGCAAACCCACAGAGUGCCCAGCCCACAGUGCAAGGACCCUGAACGUCUGUUCCAACUCCCUACAGACAGAACUGUUCGCAUAGGACCGUCAGAGGUUGGUUAGAGAGCAGGAGGAGGAGGUAAUGAGGAUGAACCAGCUGUUGGAGGAGCUGGAGAGUAAUCUCUGUGUGAGCUCCGCCAGUGCUCUACCAGUGCAGCAGGCACUCUGCACACCUGCAACAGAUCUGAAUCCUGAGUUCCUCCAACAUUCUUUAAGGCACCCUCUACUCUCGAGCAACCUCGGCAUCAAACUCACUCCAGGCUUUAGACUGAACAGUGUACAGGACCCCAGACAAGGCAUGGUUAGGGAAUCUGAGACGCACCUUCAGUGCGACCAUCUCAGGGCUCCCAUUACAGACAGUCUGCGCUCACAGCGAUCCGUUUCUCCAUCUGGACAGUUGGAGGAGGUAAACUCCUCCCAUAGAUGCUCCCUCCACAUGCCAGAAGCAGCAAUGGGUCACUUGCGUGAAUAUACAAAAGCUCCAAAACCAUUUGCAGUCGCUUCCCAGGCAACUUCUCUACAAGCUUCUCUAGUUCAGCCCCAACCAGAACGAAACCCUAAGCCAUUUGGGUCGGUCCCACAGAAGCCAGCAGCCUACAGAUUUGACGUGCAGCUUGGUGGAGUUCCAUAUCAGGGUGGUCACUCUCACCUCAGCAGCAUUUUCCAGCAGCACAACGGCAGCGAUCAUCAUGAGGUGUCUGUCAGUGAAGCUCCUGAGUCAGAGGUGAAAUUAGAUGUGUCACAGGGAGGGACUGGAAACGUGUCCCAUAUCACUCCUAACACUUCUCUGGGACUGGUGCAAGUCACCCCGUCCAGGGUGCUCCCAUCCCCCACAGUCAACACACGGGAGGCACUUGAUGCUAUCAUGGACAUGUUCCAGGUUCCAACCCUCCUGCAGGAGGACCAGUUCCGCAGCAUGCCAAUGCAUCCACAUCAGGCGGAGAAGAGCUUUGAUGCUGGCUACCAGAGAACGGUGCUGCUAUGGUGGACAAUGCAAAGCCACCAAGGGCCCUAGCAGAAAUCCCUCUGUCUAAACCAGAGAAACAAAAUGAACGUCCAUCGGAAUUGAUACCAGAUGAGAGCACUAUGUGGGAAGCAUGCUACAACUCCCUGGCCGCCUGCCCCAACAGCACCAGAGACUUUUCACUGUCGGCUCACCUGGCCUCCACGCCCUUCCAAAACAAAGUUCCUUACUCCUGGGACUUUGAGCAGGAUCAAGAAAAUGAUCAACCCAGUGGCUUUGGGGGUCCGGAAGAAGGCCCUUUCCUACGACAGCCCACAAAACUCAGCCCUAUCAUAGAGCAGAGCCCACCUGAUGGGUUACCUGAGACUGGCACGGAGUGCUCUAUGAGAGCUCAGGGCUUUGCUGAGCAGGGCACCAUCGUGGGAGAAGGGCUAGCCCUGGCCCAGCGAAGCCUGGCUACUGCUCCAUGACUGAAGUGCAGCAUCAUGCCCCGGCCGCACUGUCCUUCAGAGACCAGACUGCCCCCCUGACCCAUGCUGAGGUGGCAGUGGCCAAAAGCCCUCCUUCCAAGGCCUCAAAGCCAGACUGGGAUGUCUAUGUGAGCCCAGAGCAGUCCUCAAAGCCAGCUUUUCCUCUCCCACAGCAUGCACCUGUGGCAGAAGCAUUCCUUUCAAAGAGCCAGAUAUAUGCCCCCAAAUCCAACUUUGAUGUUCCAACUUGUCCAGAGAAAGCUCCAACGCCUGCCUCCAAGUGUGCACCCAAGUCAGACUGGUUAGUGGUCAAAAGCCCAGAGGUUGUGGUUGAACAUGACUUGGAUGCCUUCAUGAGUGCCCGUCAGGGUCAGAGAACAGUCGGCAUCCCUCUGGAGACCAUGGACAUCCCCGUAAGUCCAGAACCACCUAAAUUUGGCUCGGAUGUGACCAUGAGUCCAUUCCAGUCGUCAUCAAAGUUCAGAAUGGAUAUUCCUAUGAGCCCAGCUCCAGAGGUGAGGAAUGGCAUGGAUAUUCUUAUGAGCCCAGACCGAGGUUCAAAGGUGAACAUGAUGUGCCCAUGAGUCCAGCAGGUCAAGGGGCAGCGGCUGUAGAGCUGGUCUCCGACCCCUGGGAUGAGGAGCUGAUUUCCUCCCUGCUCUCCAAGCUGUCCACGCCACUCACCUCACAGCCUAACUUCAUCACCUGGCAGUGCAAAGCCCCCAGCAUCGCACCCAAGAUGACCAUCAAGAUGGGUAAAGGCUCCUUACGGGUUGACUGUGUACUCGGACAGGGUGCCUUUGCCACAGUCUACCAGGCAACUGACCUCAACACCUCAGAGAAGAUGAUUUUAAAGGUGCAGAAACCAGCCAAUCCGUGGGAGUUUUACAUCAACUCUCAGCUGAAUGCCCGGCUGCAGCCCAGCGUGCGCCACCUCUUUAAUAACAUCCACUCUGCCCACCUCUUCCAGAACGGUAGCGUGCUAUUGGGCGAGCUCUACAACUGUGGCACCCUAUUGAAUGCUGUAAACCUGUACAAGAACCUUAGCGACAAGGUGAUUCCCCAGCCUCUGGUGAUCUACUUCACUGUCUGCAUCCUGCACAUGGUGGAACAGCUGCACAAUAUCCACAUCGUUCACGCUGACAUCAAACCAGACAACUUCCUGCUGGAGAGAGGUUCCUGGAGAACAAGUCUUUUGACCAAGAUAAUCUGGAUCAUGGCCUCUCCCUAAUUGACCUGGGUCAGAGCAUUGACAUGACUCUGUUCCCAGAGGGCACGGCUUUCACUGCCAAGUGUAUGACCUCGGGCUUCCAGUGUACAGAGAUGCAGAGUGGGAGACCAUGGAACUACCAGACGGACUACUUUGGGAUAGCUGGAACGGUGUACUGCAUGAUUUUUGGAACAUACAUGCAAGUGACACAGGAGGGUGCGUGUGGAAGACAAAUGCAGUAUUUAGAAGAAAUCCCCACAGUGAUCUGUGGACAGAGUUCUUCCACACUCUGCUGAAUGUACCUGACUGUAGCUCCCUGCCCUGCCUGCGGAGCCUGCGCAGUAGACUGAGCACUGUGCUCCAACAGAACUACAGCAACAAGCUGCCAUCGCUGAAGACGCGCCUGGUUAUCCAGGUGUUAGAGAGCAGGACGGCAAGGAGAUAGAACUCCCUGAGAACCUUUCUACUCUUGGGUCCUGUUCAGUAGGUAUACAAUUAAAGAAAGCGGUCUGAAACUGAGUGGAACUUGGGAGAUACUAUCUGGACUUUAUGAACAACCCUAAUGAACACGACCCUGGAUACUACUGUGAUGUCGAAUUUCUAGUCCAUUUGUAAAUACAAAAGAUUGACCUUAAAUCGGUUCCGGUCACUGUGAUAACCUUUUAUGCAUUUUAAUGUUUUUUAGUGAUAACCUUUUGUCCAUUUAAAUAACAGAAAUUGUGAGGUUGGAGAUGUUAUGGUGUAUUUUCAUUUGUAAAGAAUAUAUAUAUAUUUUUAAAUCCUGUCUUGCAAGUGUAGUUUAUCAUGGCAUUUGAAUUUCUUUUUGGCUCCAACUUCAUGCAGAAAUAUGUCACUAGGUGUCACCCUUGUUCAAGAAGUUGAGCAACAUGCUCUAGUUUGUGAAUUUGGUGUGUAAUUUUAAGGACAGUAUUUGAUAUUAACAGGGUAUAUAAUUGUGUAUUCCCUUGAUACUACAAUGCAAGAUAAAUGAAGGCAAGGCAAUUAUUUAUGUUUCAGUACCUAUUGCCAGAUGUUUGAUGAUAGAAGCUAGCUUAAUACACCAGCAGAAUACAGCAAUCAAACUGCUUUUCAUCCAGAACAACGGAUCAAACCAAAUUAAGGAAGUGAUGUACGAAAUGAGCACAAAAUACUUGACUGGAUCCAAACGAAAUUCUUUUCCCGUUGGAGCAAUUCAGUUUGGAGUCAUACCAAAGACUUAAAAUGGAACCCGAUGCCUCUGCUUGGCCAUUGGCAUAAGAACAUGGAUUGGGUGAUGAACCCCAGUGUCCUGCCCAGGAGGUGUCCUAUGAUCUGUUCUGGUUUGGACAAGGCUUUCUUACAAUUCAGUUUGGAUCCAGGCUACAUAUGUAAUUACCACAAUCUGUGCCUCUACAGUACAGUUCCCUCAGAGGUGCCUCGAGUUUUGCCACUCUAUUCCAUUGCUAGGCACCCUGUUUGACUCCCACUUUAACAGCCCUGCCCUCUGAUGUCCUCAGCAUUAUUAAUGAGCUUUGUUUGGUCACAGUUUUUCUGUCCCCAAUGAUACCCUAUUCCCUCUAUGGCAACCUAUUCCCCUGUGAGCCCUGGUCAAAAGUAGUGCACGGGAGAGGGAAUGGGGUGCCAUUUGGGAUACUAGCAUUGACAAUCAGAAGCCUGUGAUAUGAAAAGGGAGCAUGGCGCAGCAGCGAUUUGAGAUUUCCCCGCACCUGGAACGGUGAUGCUGAAACAGACCAGACUUUUAGGGUGGACGCUAGAGUAAACCUCUCAAAGGGUGUUAACAAUAGAAGCGUGCCUCAAUCUGUUUUUCCUUUACCAUCCCCUCAGGCGAGAGUGAUAUCAGAGACCAAUACUAGCCUGGCUGACGCGACCCAUGUGACUACUGUAGGACAUCGAGAGCUGGUGUCAGCCAGACUACAACAAAACAGGUGGUCCUCAAUCAACCCCUGAGUAACUGCACUUUGAAAGUAAUCCUCAAUAUAAAUAUCUGGCUUUUAUGCUGUGGGUCACAGUGGGGUGUUUUUCAUAGUAAUCAAGGCAAAAUAUAUUUGUUGAAUAGAUAUAGGCUAGGACAAGGAAAAGGGUUGGGUGUGACUGAUCAUUUAAAAAUCCACCAAAAGCUUCUGAGAGGAAAAUGUAUCACUAUAUUCAGCCCACUGAUCUGACACCUUGUAAUGAGAACCUAGACACCCUAACGAUUAGGGAGGAUUUACACAUAGAACAAACCUCAUAACAUUGAAUAUGAAUCAAGGCAAUUACUUUUUUUAUUUGGUGUAUUCCAGUGUGUGAGAUAUUAAAUGUCACAAACUGAAAAUUGAGUUUGUAGUUGUGUGGUGGCCUUAACAUGCACUGUUUACAAUAACACAACUUUCUGGCUAUCUGCUAGCUGCUUUUUUAUUUAUUUUUAUAUUGAGUGAGAUAUCCAUGGGGUAUAUCAUCACAUUAAGGACGCUUCAUUACUUUCCUACAUACAUUUUAAAAAAAAAGAAAAACUCUGAGGUGACUGAUUCAGACUGAACAGUUUGAUUAUUUCACAAAUACAAUCUGAUGCUUGCAGGUGAUUAUUAUUUGCCAUAAGAAGCUUCCAUGAGGAGAACAGCCAGCAAACCUGUUCAUACUACAAGCGUCAAUGUCAGUCGUCUGUCUUUUUGACUAGAGCCCGUUAUCCCCUUAUAUUCAGUUUAGUUGAACGUCCAUUGCUGUGACUGCAGCAGUGACAGACCAUCCAUAGGGUGCCAUGCACAGUGGUGAGAGAAACCACUGGUCUUCAGCAGUCCCAGUUGGGCUCUCAGCAGCCAUCUAAACACCCAUUUAACCCUACAGAGCUCCACCUUGUGGAGUGCAGCAGGCAUCAUCCUGUCUGACAGUGUCAGCCUCGUUGUCUGCCAGAGAGGAAGCUGUAACUAAUGGACACAGACACGGCUGGGGAGGUCAAAUAAAAAUGUUUUUGUCACCUGCUUUGUAAACAACAGGUGUGGACUAACAGUAAAAUGCUUACAUAUAGACCCUCCCCAACAAUGGAGAGCAAUAAAAUAGAGAAAUAAUACAAAAAAGUAAAAAACAUGACAGGUACACAUUGAGUAACAAUAACUUGGCUAUAUACACGGGGUACGAGAUGGUUAACAGUAGCAGCAUAUGCAAUGUGUCAAAGUUAGUGCAAAAAAGGGUCAAUACAUACAGCCCGGGUUGCUUUUUGGUUAACUAUUUAACUAGCUAUUUAGCUGUCUUAUGGCUUGGUGGUAAAAGAUGUUCAGGGUCCUGUUUGGCUUCAGACUUCGGUACCGCUUGCCGUGUGGUAGCAGAGAACAGUCUAUGACUUGGGUGGCUGGAGUCUUUCACCAUUUUUAUGGUCUUCCUCUGACACCGCCUGGUAUAGAGGUCCUGGAUGGCAGGGUGUUCCACCCCAGUGAUGUACUGGGCCAUCCGCACUACCCCCUGUAGCGCCUUGCGGUCGGAGGCAAAGCAGUUGCCAUAAAAAGCGGUGAUGCCGCCAGGGACCCUGGUUAAAAAGUAGCGCACUAUAAAACGAAUAGGGUGCAAUUUUGGGAUGCAUCCUGACUAUUUAUAGUAACACCCCAAUUAUAGUGUUCAGGUAUAAUUUAGCACGUGCUCCUCUCUUCAUUCCUGUAUUGCUCCAUGUGCCUGACAUGUAGUAUAAUGUAGGGCUAUGCGUCAGUGCGUGGGAGUAUAGCUCUGUAUCUCUGUUCUCACCGUCUCCAAGGUAGUCUCGCUUUCUUCUGACAUCUAGAGGAAUCCGCAAGCAUAGAUAGACUAAAAAAUAACACGGGAAUGAACCUACAAGUGUCAUUCCCAUAGGCUAACUGGGAAAAGGGCUCUGCGAUGGAAAUGUAAGCAGCAGUAAUACUUCAAGAGGCACCACCUCAGACCAAAAUAGCUCAACAUGUCAGUUUGUUACUGUAAAGUGUAUUAUAGUAUCAACAUCCCUGCCAUUUCACCUCCAUUCAGCUGUGUUUCGCUUGUGUCUGUUCUAAGACACGUUUUGACAUUGUGUAUUUUAAACAGUGCACCAUGAUAUUUACUUUUUUCUGUAGCCUAAACUAUGCAUGUUG